rnacentral:rRNA from 1 species
CCCAGACUCCUACGGGAGGCAGCAGUGGGGAAUAUUGCACAAUGGGGGAAACCCUGAUGCAGCGACGCCGCGUGAAGGAAGAGGUAUUUCGGUAUGUAAACUUCUAUCAGCAGGGAAGAAAAUGACGGUACCUGACUAAGAAGCCCCGGCUAACUACGUGCCAGCAGCCGCGGUAAUACGUAGGGGGCAAGCGUUAUCCGGAUUUACUGGGUGUAAAGGGAGCGUAGGCGGCGAUGCAAGUCAGAAGUGAAAGCCCGGGGCUCAACUCCGGGACUGCUUUUGAAACUGUAUGGCUAGAUUGCAGGAGAGGCAAGUGGAAUUCCUAGUGUAGCGGUGAAAUGCGUAGAUAUUAGGAGGAACACCAGUGGCGAAGGCGGCUUGCUGGACUGUAAAUGACGCUGAGGCUCGAAAGCGUGGGGAGCAAACAGGAUUAGAUACCCUGGUA